rnacentral:rRNA from 1 species
GACGAACCGUGCGAACGUUGUUCGGAAUCACUGGGCUUAAAGGGCGCGUAGGCGGCUUGCCAAGUCAGGGGUGAAAUCCUGCAGCUUAACUGUAGAAGGGCCUUUGAUACUGGCGAGCUCGAGGGAGGUAGGGGUAUGUGGAACUUCCGGUGGAGCGGUGAAAUGCGCAGAUAUCGGGAGGAACACCAAUGGCGAAGGCAGCUUGCUGGGACGGUACUGACGCUGAGACGCGAAAGCGUGGGGAGCAAACAGG